GCUCUAGAUUGAACUUUAUGACCGGCUGUCUUUAAUGUGCUAGUUUUUCUUUUCUGUCCCAAUCUUAUUUUGAAAUUCGGCAUAGUAGCUCUGAUAUGGUCUGUAUAUAUUUCAGGUGCCAACCAAAAGAUACGACGAUUACUAGUGUGGCCUUUCAUCCUUCUUAUCCUCUAUCUGCAUCAUGCUCUGAUGGUAUGGUUUAUCCCUAUUUGAAUCAGAAUCCUCUAUUGUUCCACUGGAAAUUCUCCGAGGAAAUACAAGUUCAAAUGGAAAAGAUUUGUACUUUGAUUCUACAUCUUUUUCUUCUUGAUAUGGUUGAAAUGGAAGCAGUGAUAAUCCUCGUGAAUAUACUGAAAUAUCUCAAUACUGAUGGUGACACACUUUCUAUUGAACAUCCGCUGACUUCUUUUUGUCAAUUUUCCCGAAUUUUAGGAGUAACGAACUGUAAGUUCCAUUCUCGGCAAUGAGCGUGCUUGAUCACUAUCUAUGUUGGUAUCAAUAAUUGAAUUUGCAGAAUUGUAUGGUCCCGCAUAAAAUGUUCCUUUUUGGCAGUCCUGUUCAUGUUUAAUUUUGGGGACAAUUCAUUUUGACUUGUGAAGCUGGAACUAUUUGGCAAGUCCUUCAUAGCAGAUAGUAUCAUCUCUGGACUAAUAAAAUUGCUUUCUAGGGUGUGGAUCUCGGAAUUAGGGAAGAAAAAAAAAAGCGCAUUGCAAUAUUAGUCAUGGCCAAGCACAGAUUUUGUUUUGAAAAUAUCCCAUCCACUCCAGAGAGUGCCAAUAACACAUCAUGAAAGAACGUGAACUGCUGCAAUGGAUGGUAUUUUCUCCCGUAGUUUCUGUAUGACAGACACCCCAACAGUAGUUACAACUGCAACUGGCCCAGUGAAUUGAAUUCUCCCGAUUGGCUCUUCGAUUGCUACUAGUCCGGUUUUUUGCAAAAUGUGAUGGGAGAAUAGCAGCAGAUUACUAUGCGAUAGUCAUAUGUGUACCCAAAAAGCUGCUUUAUAAGUCUGUUCAACAACUGAGAGCGUUUCCUAAGGCACCUCCUAGCAGCUUCGAUAACAUCCCACACAAAAAUGCAAGUUUGAGUCUCCUCAACCCCUGUAAAAGGAAGGGCAUAAGAAUUUUCUGGAUCAAUGAAGACUCAAAAGAAUGAUUUUGGAACUACUUGUGGAAUUUCUGGCUUAGUAGGCCUGCAGUUUCACUGAUUCCCUGCUUGUUGAUGGUUUUCCAGCAAAAAAACAUGAUUCAGGCAAAAAAUGCCUGGAAAAUAUCUCAUUGUUGUUCAAUUUGAUAGUUGGUUAGUUUAGUGUAUGUAUGGUAGAUAAAGGUGCUCUUUUAAAGCUUACAAGCAUAUUUGUCAAUACCAUAUUUCCUUGAUGAUGUUCACGUAUUUCUAGUUAAGGGUUACAUUGGUGAAUGUUUGCUAUUUUGUGUUGUCAUAUGUAGGUUACCCAGGCCAGCAUAGAGCUAAAGUGGCAGAGUUCUCCACAUUUGGUCGACCGGCCAAACUGCGAAGCUUGUCUUGGUGGAUAAGGUACUUUGUGCAGACCAGCUUAGAAGAGAAUGAAGCUGCUACUAAGAAGUUUGAGCAAGCUGCAACCAAGAGAUCUUACAAGCCUGCCUGCCAAGUUUUCCACCUCAAAUCGUACCGUUGAAAUCUCUUGAUCAUAUCUUCUUGGCAAAAAAAUUGUGCCGAGAAAUGUCUUCAGUUCACGAGAAAUAUAUUACAUAUGGAUAUGGUGGUUAUCAUGUUCAGUUUUUUUUUGAUGUUUAAUUUAUGCAACGCUAGAUAUUUAAUAGUGUUUCGGGUUCUUACAUCCCAAUGCUGGAGCUUGUUGUAGGCCAAGUGCUGAUUCUGUUUAGCAUAUUCUAACUCAAUCUGCUAGUUUGAUUAGUAUAUUGGAGGAGAACUUCUUUUUUG